UACGGGGGGGGCAAGCGUUGUUCGGAAUUACUGGGCGUAAAGGGCUCGUAGGCGGCCAACUAAGUCAGACGUGAAAUCCCUCGGCUUAACCGGGGAACUGCGUCUGAUACUGGAUGGCUUGAGUUUGGGAGAGGGAUGCGGAAUUCCAGGUGUAGCGGUGAAAUGCGCAGAUAUCGGGAAGAACACCCGUGGCGAAGGCGGCUCUCUGGGACGGUACUGACGCUGAGACGCGAAAGCGUGGGGAGCGAACAGG
rnacentral:rRNA from 1 species